rnacentral:rRNA from 1 species
AUUAGCCAUGCAUGUCUCAGUGCAUGCCGAAUUAAGGUGAAACCGCGAAUGGCUCAUUAAAUCAGUUAUGGUUCAUUAGAUUGUACCCACAUUUACUUGGAUAACUGUGGUAAUUCUAGAGCUAAUACAUGCAAAACAGAGUCCCGACCAGUGAUGGAAGGGACGCUUUUAUUAGAUCAAAACCAAUCGGUGGCGGGCGGUUCGCCGUUCGUCCACCGUUUAUUUUGGUGACUCUGAAUAACUUUGUGCUGAUCGCACGGUCCUAGCACCGGCGACGCAUCUUUCAAAUGUCUGCCUUAUCAACUGUCGAUGGUAGGUUCUGCGCCUACCAUGGUUGUAACGGGUAACGGGGAAUCAGGGUUCGAUUCCGGAGAGGGAGCCUGAGAAACGGCUACCACAUCCAAGGAAGGCAGCAGGCGCGCAAAUUACCCACUCCCGGCACGGGGAGGUAGUGACGAAAAAUAACGAUACGGGACUCAUCCGAGGCCCCGUAAUCGGAAUGAGUACACUUUAAAUCCUUUAACGAGGAUCCAUUGGAGGGCAAGUCUGGUGCCAGCAGCCGCGGUAAUUCCAGCUCCAAUAGCGUAUAUUAAAGUUGUUGCGGUUAAAAAGCUCGUAGUUGAAUCUGUGUCGCACACCGUCGGUUCACCGCUCGCGGUGUUUAACUGGCGUGAUGUGGGACGUCCUACCGGUGGGCUUAGCCUCGCGAGGGGCGGCCCAACUAAUAUCCCGUCGCGGUGCUCUUUACUGAGUGUCGAGUCGGGCCGGUACGUUUACUUUGAACAAAUUAGAGUGCUUAAAGCAGGCUACCUUCGCCUGAAUACUGCGUGCAUGGAAUAAUGGAAUAGGACCUCGGUUCUAUUUUGUUGGUUUUCGGAACCCCGAGGUAAUGAUUAAUAGGGACAGAUGGGGGGCAUUCGUAUUGCGACGUUAGAGGUGAAAUUCUUUG